UACGUAGGGUGCGAGCGUUGUCCGGAAUUAUUGGGCGUAAAGAGCUCGUAGGCGGUGUGUCACGUCGGCCGUGAAAACCUGCAGCUUAACUGUGGGCGUGCGGUCGAUACGGGCAUCACUGGAGUUCGGCAGGGGGAGACUGGAAUUCCUGGUGUAGCGGUGAAAUGCGCAGAUAUCAGGAGGAACACCGAUGGCGAAGGCAGGUCUCUGGGCCACUACUGACGCUGAGAAGCGAAAGCAUGGGGAGCGAACAGG
rnacentral:rRNA from 1 species